rnacentral:rRNA from 1 species
UAGGGAAUCUUCCGCAAUGGGCGAAAGCCUGACGGAGCAACGCCGCGUGAGUGAUGAAGGUCUUCGGAUCGUAAAACUCUGUUAUUAGGGAAGAACAAAUGUGUAAGUAACUAUGCACGUCUUGACGGUACCUAAUCCGAAAGCCACGGCUAACUACGUGCCAGCAGCCGCGGUAAUACGUAGGUGGCAAGCGUUAUCCGGAAUUAUUGGGCGUAAAGCGCGCGUAGGCGGUUUUUUAAGUCUGAUGUGAAAGCCCACGGCUCAACCGUGGAGGGUCAUUGGAAACUGGAAAACUUGAGUGCAGAAGAGGAAAGUGGAAUUCCAUGUGUAGCGGUGAAAUGCGCAGAGAUAUGGAGGAACACCAGUGGCGAAGGCGACUUUCUGGGCUGUAACUGACGCUGAUGUGCGAAAGCGUGGGGAUCAAACAGG